CUGCCAUUCCCGCUUCAAUUCCAUCAUCUAUAGAUUCCAUUUCUAUUGAAGAGGCCAAAGCUGCAGUUUCCAGCAUCAUCAAUUUAUGUGUCGAUAACGAUCACGAUUACGUCCCCGUCGUUCUGCCAGAUGACUCGCCAGACAUCAACUCUGAAUUGUUAACCAACUCAUUCUCAACGACUUUGCGUCCAUUUUCUGUUCAGGAUUGGUUGAAACGAGACGACAGUGCCUCCAUUCCUACCGAUGGAGAUCCACUGCGUGUUUUUGAUUUGAAAAC